AACAAUGGAAUUUGCUGUGUCUCCAGCUAAGUUUCUUGGCAUGUUUUCAGAGCCUCCUUGGACAGGUCCCGGACCCCCUUUUCAAAUUCUGUCUUCACUUCUUCCCCUCUUUGAAUCUAGGGUUCCCUCCACGCCUUUGUACACGCAGCGUCCUCUGCCAGGUGCUCUUUGCUCCCGUUUCUGCACGACAGACUUACUCUCCUUCUGAACUCGGCACAGGGUCUGCUCCACAGUCUGUCCCGGUGCUCCCAGGCUAUUGGCCUCGACCCCCUCUGGGCCGUCUGCUGUGUGGCACAGCCUUCGUUAGUGACCGCGUGGCUUGAAGCUUUCCUAGAUGUUCUUGGAACGUACGGUGACCUUGAGUUGUCCUGAUACGCUUCUCGUUCUUCGCUGGGAAGGAAGACUGGGAGCAGGCACCGUGCUCACAUUUAACAUCUAGCCCGGGUAGGAGGGUGAGCGUGUGUGGGUGAGAACAGCCCGCGCGGAAGGCCCCGCAGAGAGCAGGGGCCUCUCCAGUUGCAUCUCCCAUUUCCCCUCCCCUGCCGCGGUCUGCAGCAAACGGCGCUGCUUUCUCCUGCGUGUGCCCAGGCGUCCGGGACCCGAGGGUGCUCACGCAGCUCCCUCUGCCUGGCAGGCCUUUCCCUCCUGCGCCUGGGCACGUCUCGCUCUCCGUGUCUGGCUCGAGCAUCACGCACUGUGCGGUGUUGCCUGCCGGCCUCCUCCCUGGACUCUCUGACGUCACUCAGCAGCUCUGUUCUGCCUUAGAAUUCUCUGUGUCCACAGCUUAACCCAGCCCCCUCCACAGCCCCACCCCACGACCCCACCUGUGGCCUCCUUGAGAGCAGAGGAGCAAGACGCCAGCAUUUCUGUGCAAAGCCAGCUGGCAAGGGGACUGUGGGGCCCUUUGUGUGGGUGGCACUGAAGAGUGUAGACCCGGGCUCCUGGGCCUGUUCUCCCAGCCUGGGCUACUGUCAGGCAGAUGCAGCCUCGAAGUUCACCUCUGCUGCGGGGAUCCCGUCAGAAAAUCUGGAUUAAAACCUACUCUCCAAAGUGGCCAUGAGCGUCCACCUGAGAGCAAAGGCCCAACAUUGGCACACGCAGGCUGUAGGUGAGUUGAACACACCAAAGUCGAGGACAAGGAGUGACAGUGCAGCGUGGUGAUCAGUGUGCGGCAGGUCUGAAUAAACGCUGUGGGGAAUGCAGAAGGGGGGACAUUGGCUGGAUCUGAAAAGAUGCUUUCCAGGUGGAGAACGAAAGGCAGGAAUUCCGGGCAGCAGGACCGGCCCUGGCAAGGGCAUGGCUGUGAAAAUGCACGGCCCCAGGAGAGGGGACCAGGAGAGUGGGUGGCCAGUGCACGGUGUGUGUGGCCCGCAGCCAGUCGGGCCAGGCCCUGAAGGCUGGGGUGCUGGUGCGUCCUCCGGGGCAUCAGGGGGGCCCAUCAGCCCUGGGAUUUGGGAAGAUCAGUCCCUUGUUCUGGGGUGGACAGUGGCAGAGGUAGUGGCAGAUUGUCUUGGUUCCGUUGAGAGUCACCAGGGAUCCUGGCACGCUCUGGUAGUUGGAAUGCACCAGCUGUGAGGUGUGGGCAGUGCCGGCUGGGUCCCCUGCCUGGAAGGAGAGGUCGUUUGUUGAGGGUGCUGAGCUGAGCCAUGUCUGGAGGCAGCUUGGCAUGGAGGGCAGAGGGCAGACUGGAGUCGGAGGCUUCACCCAGGCCUGGUCCUUGUCCUGGUGGUGAUGACUUCAGCAAUGCCAACCAUGGGGAAACACACAGAACACAAAGCCAUGGGCUCAGGGUGCAGAUUUGCCAUGCGCUCCUGUGUCUCU